GUUGGGACACAUUCUCCAGCCUCUUCUGUUUGCAGGUGCCUGAGGACAACUUCAAACCUUCUCUGCUCCAUUGUAGAACCUUUUCCAGCAAGGGGGAGAGGAAGGACAGAAGGCUAUGCCUUGGGCUCCAAAGUUUAGGAGAGGAGCCAUGGAGAUGGACAGAGAGAGAUCCCAUUGUCUCUGGACACUGCUGGCCAAGGGCCUCCACCACCUCGGGAGCUGCUGCCUCUCAUCCACUUCCGGGGGGGGGCGGGGAAUGGAAGCUCCCUACCGCCAAGCACCACGACCUUCCCCUGCCCUCUCCAGGCCUAAGGGUCAAGCUGCCAGGCCACCAGGCAGUGCCAGGUCCUGGCACAGGCUAGGUGCCUUCUGAGUGUCGGCUGAUGCAGGGAUAGACAUGAUCAUGUGACUGCUGCCCUCCCUCCAACCCCCAUCCAGUAGGGAGAGGCCCACUCUGGCCUCUGGAAGCCCAAGAAGAGGCUCACCUGCCCAAAGGCCUUCCGUCCAAAGUUCAAGGGAGCCCCACCCCUCCCGGAUGCUCAGCUCACCCCACCCCCCACAGGCAGGGCUACAGUGUGGUGGGCACUGCCACACCCCGACCUGCCACAACCUCUUGGAGUCAGUGACAAGAACCAAACGUCCCCCAGCCUCCACCCCUCCCCUUUCCUGCUUUUAUUAUUUUCUUUUCCGUAAAGAUUAGUCUGUGUUGCUCCUCUAUCAAGGCCUGGAGGAUAAACAUGUGGUCCGGAGGCAGAGAAACCCCAGGCCUGAAGGCCCCACUGCCCCCACCCCAGCAGCAUAAACCCAGGGCUUUUAAGCAAG